GGUUAAUUUGAGAGAAAAUAUUUUACGGCUGCCCAAAUGGUUAAGCUGAUGAACGAUAGCAAUUUCAAUUCUGACCCGAUACCUUUAACCUGGCGACUGCUAUCGGUUAUCCAUUACGAGCUUAAACGAGGUCACUGCUGCAAGAAACGAUAUUGCACCGCGUCAGACUUUCAAUCCCUUUCAUAUGCAAUGAUGGAUUGUUUGAUGAGAACUUGUGAGAAAGUGAAAUAAGGAUGGAUACUCUAAAUGGCCCUCUGGUGGUGAAUUCAUGAAGUAGCGCUAUAGUAAUCCACCUUGGAUCCCACUGAUCCUAAGAGGACACUCUAAUAAUCCACUGGUGGCAAAAACAGGAGAAAAUUUAUCUGGGAGAUAAACAAGGAGCCUGGAAAUUUCUUAUGCAUGCUGAAGAAUGAUCUGAAAAUUGGGAAAUUUUUAGAAGAAAGUUUUUCACCUUUGGAAGUAGGAAAUUUAUUUCUUAAUACUUUAACAGCUGCCCACAUAAUUCUACAAUUAUUGAUAAAGAAUUAUAUUUGAAAGCUUAAUUUAGCCCACUCUAUGAAAUUAUUAAAUUUCAAAUUGCAAUUUGCAUCAAAUAGAGUAGAGGUUGGAUAUUAAAAUCAGGAAUACCUGACAGCAAGCAUUAAAGUGUUGAAACGAAGGAAA